GCCCGCAGGCAAACCCCAGCACGACACCUCAACCGGAAUGGGUACCGCGAGCGCAACCUAGGGGUAGUUGGUAGGGGCACGUCGUUUUGAUCAGAGAUACGCGCGACAACAAGACGAGGCCCGGGAGGAAGGCGGCUGCCGGAGCCUGCGCGACGAGAUAAGACUAGGAAGGAGUGCUACCGCAGGAGCCUACGUGAUCUACGUCGGCAACGGCAGCCCCGGGGCUAAGGUCAGCCUGCGAGACGAGGCCCGGAAAGUGCGGCCUCCGAGGCCUGCGCGGACUACGCCGGUAGGGCGCGUUGAAUCCUUCGGAUACGAGUCCGCAACGGGACGAUGCCGGGGAGGAGCGUGUCUGUUGGUGCUUGUUAGACCCCGUUUUCUUCAGCCGUCGCCGCCGUUCGUUAGGAUAGUCCGGCGCCAUGUGUUCAAAUUAAGUAGGUGGCAGAGGUUAAGAUAAAAGAUAUGCUUAGAGCACCUAAAAGAAGAGCGAGGGCUAGAAGAGAUAAACGUAGUCAUGAUAAAAUCGACCCACAGGUUUGAGGAAUAAGUCUAAACUAUAAAAAAGGAGAACCUUCAGUUUUGUUCAACUUCGGAGGAAGUAGCUACGAGUAGAGACAGGUCAUCGUGUACACGAUCUACCCUAUUUAACCUCUGGACCGACGGUGGUGGCGUGGAUGUCCUGCGGACGAACCCUUAGAAUUUUUGAGAUACCAUGUAGAAGGAGUUGCAUUCAAGUUCGGAGAUGGUACCGAGUAGGGGAAGAGGAAGUCCGUGGUCCACACAACCCGCCUGUUUUGACCUCGGAAGCGGCGACGAUGCCGCGGUGGUACGCCGGAGGACUAGGCAUCUAGGCUUAGUGAGAUGUCUAUGUGGAAGUAGAAAUAAUCGACAAGUUGGUACAACGUAUUAAACCCUAAGAAUAAUUAGGGGUUAGGCAACUGAGAACGGUGGAUGGGUAAGUUAAAUAACUACAUGGUCUAAGUACCACAAACCUAAAUUAACCUUCUUCACUAUACACAGAAAGUUAGACGUUGGUUAACCUAUGCUGUUACUUCUUGUGAACUAAAAAAACAACGUUGUUUAAUAUCCUACCGCUUGCGUAUACGAGUAGAUUGAGUUUAUAUCUGUUACUUACUAUGAGCUCGGUCAGUACAGCGAGUAGAACUAGACGGUAGAGGUAAAAGAGUCAGUCCAACCAUCUAGAUGUAUUGAUCUAAAAGCACUUUAAAAUGAGAAGCAGUACACAGUAAACCUCCUUCAGGUAACGAUGUCUACCUAGGUUUAUUUAAAGGAUCGUACAAGAGGUGUAAAAACUGACUACGAAAGUACAGUAUACCACGACCUCGUAUAGUAACUAAAGGAAAACAAGCCAGUAUACUUAAGAAUACUACUCUAACCUAAAAAAUAUGUGACCUUAGUGGUUGUUUGUAUCAACUUACUUUCAUAGCGCAUACACGAUGGCGUAAAAAUUACCUAAUACAGGCUACCCCGAUAGCGUUUGACUACAUAAUAAUACAUCUUAGUUAUAUAAAGAUAUGGUACUAACCAGAAAUACGGAUCCUUUAUAACUCAGGCGGAUUUAACUAGAAUCCUACAUCAUAUACCAAGUGCUAGGUUCAUCUCUAAUG
rnacentral:rRNA from 1 species